rnacentral:ncRNA from 1 species
UCCCGCUUUUCCUCCCUGAGCGGGGCCUUUGCGUGUGACAGCAAAAAGGCGUUUCAAUCCCGGCGGGCCAUCAGCUCGCCGGGAUUUUUUUU